GACGAACGCUGGCGGCGCGCUUAACACAUGCAAGUCGAACGGAAAGGCCCUGCUUGCAGGGUACUCGAGUGGCGAACGGGUGAGUAACACGUGGGUGAUCUGCCCUGCACUUCGGGAUAAGCCUGGGAAACUGGGUCUAAUACCGGAUAGGAGCCAUUUUUAGUGUGAUGGUUGGAAAGUUUUUUCGGUGUAGGAUGAGCUCGCGGCCUAUCAGCUUGUUGGUGGGGUAAUGGCCUACCAAGGCGGCGACGGGUAGCCGGCCUGAGAGGGUGGACGGCCACAUUGGGACUGAGAUACGGCCCAGACUCCUACGGGAGGCAGCAGUGGGGAAUAUUGCACAAUGGGCGCAAGCCUGAUGCAGCGACGCCGCGUGGGGGAUGACGGCCUUCGGGUUGUAAACUCCUUUCGCUAGGGACGAAGCUUUUUGUGACGGUACCUAGAUAAAAAGCACCGGCUAACUACGUG
rnacentral:rRNA from 1 species